GAAAUAUUAUUAAUUAAGCUGCUAACUUAAAUUAUUAACGAUUAAAAUUCGUUUAUAUUUCU
rnacentral:tRNA from 1 species